CGUAACAAGGUUUCCGUAGGUGAACCUGCGGAACGCAUCCUAGUCGA
rnacentral:rRNA from 1 species